rnacentral:sRNA from 1 species
AAGAAUCUACAACAUAC